rnacentral:lncRNA from 1 species
UUGAGUCUUGCUGGAGGAUGGAGCUGGGGGCUGAGGAAGCUAGGGCAGAGCUCUAGAUCCCCCGAAUUUUAGUGUGGGGGAGAGCUUGUUGGUGGGGAUCCAGACAUUAUAAAAGAGUUCUGGCCCGCUCGUGAGAUUGGAGAGAAAGAUCUGAGGCUGUGACUCCAACGUCCUGGGGAAGAGGGAGCUUAAGAGACCCGCUUGAAGAUUCUGAGAGAAAGAAUGUGAGCCUGGGGUUGGGAGGGUCCUGGGCUCAGAGAAGGGGUACUUCCCUGCGCCUGAGGUCCGUGUCUGGGGGACCUCUGCGCCUCACCUUCCAGAAUGCAGGGGGCGGGUCACUCGGACUCGGUGGAAGAGGCCCCCGGACUUCCCUUCGGUGUGUCGGGUACAAGAUUUUGCAGCCUUUUAACGAGGAAGCCCCGCCCACGGCUCCGCCUUCUGCCCGCACCUUGCUGCGGUGCGGCUGAACCCGCAAGCGCUCGAGGAGGGGCACGGGCUGGAGUGACUUUAGGAGGAGGGGCUGGAGCCUCGGAAACCGAGGGCGGCGGGACCAGCCCUGGCUGAAGUCCCAAGGUGCUGCAAUAGGCUUGUUGUUAAGGUUGCAAAGGUUCGGCCGGGCCGGUGCAGGUU